rnacentral:rRNA from 1 species
GUAGGGAAUAUUGGACAAUGGGGGGAACCCUGAUCCAGCCAUGCCGCGUGGAGGAAGACUGCCCUCUGGGUUGUAAACUCCUUUUAUAUGGGAAGAACCGUCCUCAUUAAUGAGUUACCUGACGGUACCAUAGGAAUAAGCACCGGCUAACUCCGUGCCAGCAGCCGCGGUAAUACGGAGGGUGCAAGCGUUAUCCGGAUUCACUGGGUUUAAAGGGUGCGUAGGCGGAUAAAUAAGUCAGUGGUGAAAUCAACGGGCUCAACCUGUUAACUGCCAUUGAUACUGUGUAUCUUGAAUAUGAGAGAGGUAGGCGGAAUGUUGCAUGUAGCGGUGAAAUGCUUAGAUAUGCUACGGAACACCGAUUGCGAAGGCAGCUUACUAUUUCGUAAUUGACGCUGAGGCACGAAAGCGUGGGUAGCGAACAGGAUUAGAUACCCUGGUAGUCC